UACGGAGGAUCCAAGAGUUGUCCGGAAUUACUGGGUGCAAAGGGUGCGCAGGCGGACUUGUGCGUCAGAGGUUAAAUACCCCGGCUCAACCGGGGAAAUGCCUUUGAAACGGCAGGUCUUGAGGGCGAGAGAGGAUGGUAGAAUUCCUGGUGUAGCGGUGAAAUACGUAGAUAUCAGGAGGAAUACCAGUGGCGAAGGCGACCAUCUUGCUCGCACCUGACGCUCAGGCACGAAAGCGUGGGGAGCUAAUAGG
rnacentral:rRNA from 1 species